rnacentral:rRNA from 1 species
AUUGAACGCUGGCGGCAGGCCUAACACAUGCAAGUCGAGCGGCAGCACGGGUACUUGUACCUGGUGGCGAGCGGCGGACGGGUGAGUAAUGCCUAGGAAUCUGCCUAGUAGUGGGGGAUAACGUCCGGAAACGGGCGCUAAUACCGCAUACGUCCUACGGGAGAAAGUGGGGGAUCUUCGGACCUCACGCUAUUAGAUGAGCCUAGGUCGGAUUAGCUAGUUGGUGAGGUAAUGGCUCACCAAGGCGACGAUCCGUAACUGGUCUGAGAGGAUGAUCAGUCACACUGGAACUGAGACACGGUCCAGACUCCUACGGGAGGCAGCAGUGGGGAAUAUUGGACAAUGGGCGAAAGCCUGAUCCAGCCAUGCCGCGUGUGUGAAGAAGGUCUUCGGAUUGUAAACUUAAGUGGAGGGUUACCUAAUACGUGAUUGUUUUGACG